rnacentral:rRNA from 3 species
AAAACUUUCAACAACGGAUCUCUUGGCUCUCGCACCGAUGAAGAGCGCAGCGAAAUGCGAUAACUAAUGUGAAUUGCAGGCAUCGUGAAUCAUCGAGUUCUUGAACGCACAUUGCGCCCUGUGGUAUUCCGCAGGGCAUGCCUGUUUGAGCGUCAGUUCAUUC